rnacentral:rRNA from 1 species
CAUUAUUCAAACGACUCUCGGCAACGGAUAUCUCGGCUCUUGCAUCGAUGAAGAACGUAGCGAAAUGCGAUACUUGGUGUGAAUUGCAGAAUCCCGUGAACCAUCGAGUUUUUGAACGCAAGUUGCGCCCGAGACCUUUAGGUUGAGGGCACGUCUGCCUGGGCGUCACACACA